rnacentral:tRNA from 1 species
GAUUGUGGCUCAGUGGUAGACCGCUCGCCUAGCAUGUGCGGGGGGCCCUGGGUUCUAUCCUCAGCAUUACA